rnacentral:rRNA from 1 species
AGAGUUUGAUCCUGGCUCAGGAUGAACGUUGGCGGCGUGCCUAACACAUGCAAGUCGAACGGGAAGCCCCUUUGGAGGGGCGGAGAGUGGCGCACGGGUGCGUAACACGUAGCUAACCUGCCCCGAAGACCGGGACAACCGCUGGAAACGGCGGCUAAGACGGGAUACGACGGGAUCGGGGGGACCUGGUCCGGUGAAAGGGUCGCGGUGAAACGCGAGACACUUCGGGAGGGGGCUGCGGCCCAUCAGCUGGAUGGCGGGGUAACGGCUCACCAUGGCGAUGACGGGUAGGGGAUCUGAGAGGGUGGUCCUCCACACCGGGACUGAGACACGGCCCGGACUCCUGCGGGAGGCAGCAGUGAGGGAUAUUGCGCAAUGGACGGAAGUCUGACGCAGCGACGCCGCGUGGGUGAUGAAGGUUUUCGGAUCGUAAAGCCCUUUUCUGCGUGACGAGGCUGACGGUAGCGCAGG